ACGAGUGGCGAACGGGUGAGUAAUGUAUCGGAACGUACCUUUCAGUGGGGGAUAACGUAGCGAAAGUUACGCUAAUACCGCAUAUUCUGUGAGCAGGAAAGCAGGGGAUCGCAAGACCUUGCGCUGAUUGAGCGGCCGAUAUCAGAUUAGCUAGUUGGUGAGGUAAAGGCUCACCAAGGCGACGAUCUGUAGCGGGUCUGAGAGGAUGAUCCGCCACACUGGAACUGAGACACGGUCCAGACUCCUACGGGAGGCAGCAGUGGGGAAUUUUGGACAAUGGGGGCAACCCUGAUCCAGCCAUGCCGCGUGAGUGAAGAAGGCCUUCGGGUUGUAAAGCUCUUUCGGCCGGGAAGAAAUCGCAUGGGUUAAUACCCUGUGCGGAUGACGGUACCGGCAUAAGAAGCACCGGCUAACUACGUGCCAGCAGCCUCGGUAAUACGUAGGGUGCGAGCGUUAAUCGGAAUUACUGGGCGUAAAGCGUGCGCAGGCGGUUUUGUAAGACAGGCGUGAAAUCCCCGGGCUCAACCUGGGAACUGCGCUUGUGACUGCAAGGCUAGAGUAUGGCAGAGGGGGGUGGAAUUCCACGUGUAGCAGUGAAAUGCGUAGAGAUGUGGAGGAACACCAAUGGCGAAGGCAGCCCCCUGGGCCAAUACUGACGCUCAUGCACGAAAGCGUGGGUAGCAAACAGGAUUAGAUACCCUGGUAGUCCACGCCCUAAACGAUGUCAACUAGGUGUUGGGUGGGUAAAACCAUUUAGUACCGGAGCUAACGCGUGAAGUUGACCGCCUGGGGAGUACGGCCGCAAGGUUAAAACUCAAAGGAAUUGACGGGGACCCGCACAAGCGGUGGAUGAUGUGGAUUAAUUCGAUGCAACGCGAAAAACCUUACCUACCCUUGACAUGUCCAGGAGCCUGAAGAGAUUUGGGUGUGCCCGAAAGGGAACUGGAACACAGGUGCUGCAUGGCUGUCGUCAGCUCGUGUCGUGAGAUGUUGGGUUAAGUCCCGCAACGAGCUCAACCCUUGUCGUUAAUUGCCAUCAUUUAGUUGGGCACUUUAACGAGACUGCCGGUGACAAACCGGAGCAAGGUGGGGAUGACGUCAAGUCCUCAUGGCCCUUAUGGGUAGGGCUUCACACGUCAUACAAUGGUCGGUACAAAGGGUUGCCAACCCGCGAGGGGGAGCCAAUCCCAGAAAGCCGAUCGUAGUCCGGAUUGCAGGCUGCGACUUGCCUGCAUGAAGUCGGAAUCGCUAGUAAUCGUGGAUCAGCAUGUCACGGUGAAUACGUUCCCGGGUCUUGUACACACCGCCCGUCACACCAUGGGAGCGGGUUCCGCCAGAAGUAGGUAGCCUAACCGCAAGGGGGGCGCUUACCACGGCGGGGUUCGUGACUGGGGUGAAGUCGUAACAAGGUA
rnacentral:rRNA from 1 species